UACGGAGGGUGCGAGCGUUGUCCGGAAUCACUGGGCGUAAAGGGCGCGUAGGUGGCGCGGGCAGUCAACGGUGAAAGUUCGGGGCUCAACCCUGAAUCGGCCGUCGAUACUCCCGGGCUUGAGCACUGUAGAGGCAGAUGGAAUUCCGGGUGUAGCGGUCGGAAUGCGCAGAUAUCAGGAAGAACACCCGUGGCGAAGGCGGCUCUCUGGAACGCAACUGACGCUGAGACGCGAAAGCGUGGGGAGCAAACAGG
rnacentral:rRNA from 1 species